CUAAUUUCUAAACUUAAUUAGUUAUAUAUUCAAGCUAAUUAGUUCCAAGUUCAAGUUCUAAUUUCAAGUUCAUAUUCCUAAUUAAGUUCAAUUUAUAGUAAAUUCAAGUUAUAAUUAAUUAUAAGUUCUAAUUAAGUUGUAAUUCAAAUCCCUAAAAUUCUAAAUUCAAACUAGCUAGCUAGUGUCCCAACUUCAAACUAUUAAUUAGUCCUAAAAUAUCAAAUAUAAUUCAAACUAUUAGUCCUAAAUUCCAAAUUCAAACUAGUCUUAAAAUCACAAAUUGAAAGUACUCCUAGAAUUCAAAAAUCA
rnacentral:lncRNA from 1 species